rnacentral:rRNA from 1 species
GACGAACGCUGGCGGCGUGCCUAAUACAUGCCAGUUGAGCGAUGAAGCUUGGUGCUUGCACCAAUUUGAAGAGCAGCGAACGGGUGAGUAACGCGUGGGGAAUCUGCCUUUGAGCGGGGGACAACAUUUGGAAACGAAUGCUAAUACCGCAUAACAACUUUAAACAUAAGUUUUAAGUUUGAAAGAUGCAAUUGCAUCACUCAAAGAUGAUCCCGCGUUGUAUUAGCUAGUUGGUGAGGUAAAGGCUCACCAAGGCGAUGAUACAUAGCCGACCUGAGAGGGUGAUCGGCCACAUUGGGACUGAGACACGGCCCAAACUCCUACGGGAGGCAGCAGUAGGGAAUCUUCGGCAAUGGACGAAAGUCUGACCGAGCAACGCCGUGUGAGUGAAGAAGGUUUUCGGAUCGUAAAACUCUGUUGGUAGAGAAGAACGUUGGUGAGAGUGGAAAGCUCAUCAAGUGACGGUAACUACCCAGAAAGGGACGGCUAACUACGUG